CCUACGGGCGGCUGCAGUGGGGAAUAUUGGGCAAUGGGCGCAAGCCUGACCCAGCAACGCCGCGUGAAGGAAGAAGGCUUUCGGGUUGUAAACUUCUUUUGUCAGGGACGAAGCAAGUGACGGUACCUGACGAAUAAGCCACGGCUAACUACGUGCCAGCAGCCGCGGUAAUAGGUUGGUGGCAAGCUUUAUCAGGCUUUAUUGGGUGUAAAGGGCGUGUAGGCGGGAGAGCAAGUCAGAUGUUAAAAUGAUGGGCUCAACCCAUAGCCUGCAUUUGAAACUGUAUUUCUUGAGUGCUGGAGAGGCAAUCGGAAUUCCGUGUGUAGCGGUGAAAUGCGUAGAUAUACGGAGGAACACCAGUGGCGAAGGCGGAUUGCUGGACAGUAACUGACGCUGAGGCGCGAAAGCGUGGGGAGCAAACAGGAUUAGAUACCCUUGUAGUC
rnacentral:rRNA from 1 species